GCAAACUUGGUCAUUUAGAGGAAGUAAAAGUCGUAACAAGGUUUCCGUAGGUGAACCUGCGGAAGGAUCAUUAUCGGGAAUGCCCCUCGGGGCUUAACCUGCAACCCUAUGCCGUUACCGACCUUUUUAUCUUUUGGCGGGCUCGCCCGCCGGAAGAAAUCUCAUAAACUCAGUGAAUUUGUCAUGUUCUGAAUUAAAAAAAAAUCAAUUAAAACUUUCAACAACGGAUCUCUUGGUUCUGGCAUCGAUGAAGAACGCAGC
rnacentral:misc_RNA from 1 species